rnacentral:rRNA from 1 species
UACAUGGGGUGCAAACGUUGCUCGGAAUUAUUGGGCGUAAAGCGCACGUAGGUGGUUCGUUAUGUCGGAUGUGAAAGCCCUCGGCUCAACUGAGGAAGUGCAUCCGAAACUGGCGAGCUAGAGUAUGUAAGAGGGUCGCGGAAUUCCCGGUGUAGAGGUGAAAUUCGUAGAUAUCGGGAGGAACACCGGUGGCGAAGGCGGUUCUCUGGGCCUGUACUGACGCUGAGGAGCGAAAGCGUGGGGAGCAAACAGG